rnacentral:rRNA from 1 species
CUCAGUUCGGAUCGGAGUCUGCAACCCGACUCCGUGAAGCUGGAUUCGCUAGUAAUCGCGCAUCAGCCAUGGCGCGGUGAAUACGUUCCCGGGCCUUGUACACACCGCCCGUCAAGCCAUGGAAGCCGGGGGUGCCUGAAGUGUGCAGCCGCAAGGAGCNCCCUAAGGUAAAAACCGGUGACUGGGGCUAAGUCGUAACAAGGUAAC